rnacentral:tRNA from 1 species
GCAUCCGUAGCUCAGCGGGAUAGAGUACUCGGCUACGAACCGAGCGGUCGGAGGUUCGAAUCCUCCCGGAUGCACCA